rnacentral:rRNA from 1 species
UACGAAGGGGGGCUAGCGUUGCUCGGAAUUACUGGGCGUAAAGGGCGCGUAGGCGGAUGUUUAAGUCGGGGGUGAAAGCCCAGGGCUCAACCCUGGAAUUGCCUUCGAUACUGGACAUCUUGAGUACGGGAGAGGUGAGUGGAACUCCGAGUGUAGAGGUGAAAUUCGUAGAUAUUCGGAAGAACACCAGUGGCGAAGGCGACUCACUGGCCCGUUACUGACGCUGAUGCGCGAAAGCGUGGGGAGCAAACAGGG